CAGCAGCCACGGGAAUACGGAGGGUGCAAGCGUUAAUCGGAAUUACUGGGCGUAAAGCGCACGCAGGCGGUCUGACAAGUCAGAUGUGAAAUCCCCGGGCUUAACCUGGGAACUGCAUUUGAAACUGUCAGGCUGGAGUCUUGUAGAGGGGGGUGGAAUUCCAGGUGUAGCGGUGAAAUGCGUAGAGAUCUGGAGGAAUACCGGUGGCGAAGGCGGCCCCCUGGACAAAGACUGACGCUCAGGUGCAAAAGCGUGGGGAGCAAACAGGAUUAGAUACCCCGGUAGUCCCUGUCUCUUAUAC
rnacentral:rRNA from 1 species